rnacentral:rRNA from 1 species
GACGUAGGGGGCCAGCGUUGCUCGGAAUUACUGGGCGUAAAGGGUUCGUAGGCGGUGUGGCAAGUCGGGAGUGAAAUCUCUGGGCUCAACCCAGAGUCUGCUUCCGAAACUGCUGUGCUUGAGUGUGGGAGAGGCGCGUGGAAUUGCAGGUGUAGCGGUGAAAUGCGUAGAUAUCUGCAGGAACACCCGUGGCGAAAGCGGCGCGCUGGACCACUACUGACGCUGAGGAACGAAAGCUAGGGGAGCAAACAGG